GGAUCUAAAAUAAGGAUUCAUUCUUCAGACAACUCCUGCUCAUGGUUUCCCCCUAUCUUUACAAAAUCGAUCUCAGAUUCAUUCAACAUGCAUUCAACAGCUUUCUAUCAAGAAAAGACAUUGUGCUCAAGAGCUGGAGGUGAUAAAGUCCAAUGUGAAUUUCUUAAAUGGCAAAUUACCAGCCAGGAUGAACACACAAAGGCUUCAGCUUUUAUGUACGGCCUAGAAGCCCCAGGGCCCCUGUUCCCCCUGAGCACCCAAGAGCAGCUUCUGAACACUGCAAUGUGCUGGCUGGAGGCCUCUGGAGAAGAGGAGGCCAGACCUGUGAAUUAUGGCAAAUUCUACUGCACCCUGACUUCAGCAACCUCCUAAAUCAGAAAAGGGGGCAUUAAAAA
rnacentral:lncRNA from 1 species